ACGGGAGGCAGCAGUGGGGAAUAUUGCACAAUGGGGGAAACCCUGAUGCAGCGACGCCGCGUGAAGGAUGAAGUAUUUCGGUAUGUAAACUUCUAUCAGCAGGGAAGAUAGUGACGGUACCUGACUAAGAAGCCCCGGCUAACUACGUGCCAGCAGCCGCGGUAAUACGUAGGGGGCAAGCGUUAUCCGGAUUUACUGGGUGUAAAGGGAGCGUAGGCGGCUGUGUAAGUCAGAAGUGAAAGCCCGCGGCUUAACUGCGGGACUGCUUUUGAAACUGCACGGCUUGAGUGCAGGAGAGGUAAGCGGAAUUCCUAGUGUAGCGGUGAAAUGCGUAGAUAUUAGGAGGAACACCAGUGGCGAAGGCGGCUUACUGGACUGUAAAUGACGCUGAGGCUCGAAAGCGUGGGGAGCAAACAGGAUUAGAUACCCUGGUA
rnacentral:rRNA from 1 species